rnacentral:rRNA from 1 species
GUAGGGUCCGAGCGUUGUCCGGAAUUAUUGGGCGUAAAGGGCUCGUAGGCGGUUUGUUGCGUCGGAAGUGAAAUCUUACAGCUUAACUGUGAACUUGCUUUCGAUACGGGCAGACUUGAGGCAUUCAGGGGAGAACGGAAUUCCUGGUGUAGCGGUGAAAUGCGCAGAUAUCAGGAGGAACACCGGUGGCGAAGGCGGUUCUCUGGGAAUGUACUGACGCUGAGGAGCGAAAGUGUGGGGAGCGAACAGGAUUAGAUACCCUGGUAGUCCACACCGUAAACGUUGGGCGCUAGGUGUGGGAUCCAUUCCACGGGUUCCGUGCCGCAGCUAACGCAUUAAGCGCCCCGCCUGGGGAGUACGGCCGCAAGGCUA